ACGGGUGUAGCUCAAUUGGUAGAGUGGUGGUCUCCAAAACCAUAGGUUGGGAGUUCGAGUCUCCCCACCCGUGC
rnacentral:tRNA from 1 species